AGGAGACAAUUAAAUGGCUCUAAGAGGAGGAUAUAUUGAACUAAAAUUUAGAGCCAUUUAAUUGUGUCCUUCCAGAGAUUAGUAUUAGGCUGAAACUGUCUUCACACUAAAUAUGGCUUCAGCACCUUUAAACGAUCUUUGGAUUGCAGCUCUCACCCUUUCAAUUGUAUUCCUGACAAUUCUAUGGUACAAAUUGAACAAGGAAGAAUCCAGGUUGCCACCAGGGCCUCGUGGCUUUCCGAUUGUGGGAUUCUUACCAUUCCUCCGCCCCAAUUUGCAUCACCAGCUCACAGAAUUGUCUCAACAGUAUGGUCCAAUUUACAAGUUUUGGCUAGGAGGAAAGCUAUGUGUUGUUUUGAACUCACCAUCCUUAGCCAAAGAAGUGGUUCGUGAUCAAGACUCCAUUUUUGCCAACCGUGACCCUCCAAUUGCAGGAUUAGUAGCCACAUAUGGUGGACUAGAUAUUGGAUUCUCUCCCAAUGGUUCCUACUGGCGUGAUAUGCGCAAACUGUUUGUAAGGGAGAUGCUAAGCAACAGGAACCUUGAGGCCUGUUAUAGCCUUCGGAGACACGAGGUCAGAAAGACAAUCAAAAACGUACAUACCAACAUUGGUAACCCCGUCGACAUUGGUGAAUUGGCCUUUGUAACUGAAAUUAAUGUAAUCAUGAGUAUGAUCUUUGGCAGCAAUUUUGUUGAAGAGAUGGAGAAGCAUAAAAUAGAUGGAACUGAAUUCAGGGAAUUGGUGAUAAAAUAUCUUCAAAUGCUGGGAAAGCCAAACAUAUCAGACUUCUUUCCUACGCUUGCCAGGUUUGACUUACAAGGAAUACAGAAAGAAGCGGAGUCUCUUUUGAAGUCGGUUGAAAGUAUAUUGGACCCUGCCAUAAAAGAACACAUGAAGAUGCUUUCAGACAGAAGAGAGGGUGAAAUCCAGGGGAAUGAGAAGAAAGACUUUAUACAGAUCCUGUUAGAGCUAAUGGAGCAGAAACAUUGGUAUAUCACUGGACUUGGUGAAAAUAAAGGCCAUCUUGGUGGACAUUGUUAUUGGUGGGACUGACUCUACAACCACGACGGUCGAGUGGGUAAUGGCAGAGCUUCUAAAUAAUCGGGAGAUAAUAUCAAAGGUGCAGCAGGAAUUAAAACUUGUUGUAGGGAUGAAUAACAUUGUUGAAGAAUCCCAUCUGCCGGAGCUGCACUAUCUUGAUGCAGUUUUAAAGGAGACGUUACGUUUACACCCUGCAUUACCACUGCUAAUCCCAAAGCGUCCGAGCCAAUCUGCAGUAGUAGGUGAAUACACCAUACCUGAGGGAACUAAAGUAUUCUUGAAUGUUUAUGCAAUUCAUAGGGAUCCUCAAGUGUGGGAAAGUCCACUAGAAUUCCAGCCUGAAAGGUUCUUGAGUCCCUCGACGAAUUUAGACUAUGCUGGAAAUAAUAUGAAGUACCUUCCAUUUGGAUCAGGGAGGAGAAUUUGUGCUGGCCUUCCCUUAGCAGAGAAAAUGGUCAUGUUUAUGAUGGCUUCAUUGUUGCAUUCCUUUGAUUGGAAACUCACUGAGGGCGAAAACGUUGAUCUUUCAGAGGGAUUUGGACUUGUCAUCAAGAAAAGCGAGAGGUUAUUCGCCAUCCCUACUCCCAGGUUACCAAAUUGCGAGCUAUAUCAGUAAAAGCCAAGAAACUAUAAGGGCCAAGCAGACUUCUACCAGCUUCAAUAGAUAUUUUUGUUGGUGUGUGGGCAAAGCUAGAUGUUUACAAUGGUUCAAGGGUAAAAAUUUCUUUUUUUUGCUUAUAUAAAAAAAAAAGUACUUUUGCUUUAGUUCAUAAAUUAAAACAAUAGAUUUCUGACUC